rnacentral:tRNA from 1 species
UCCCUGACAGUCCAAUGGUUAAGACUCUGUACUUUCAAUGCAAGGAGUGAGGGUUCAAUCCCUGGUCAGGGAA